AGCAGCCGCGGUAAUUCCAGCUCCAAUAGCGUAUAUUAAAGUUGUUGCAGUUAAAAAGCUCGUAGUUGAAUUUCGGGAUCAAUACGUCGGUCGUGCUUCGGUACGUACUGGCGUAAUUGAUUUCUCCCUUCUGACGAACCAUGAUGUCAUUAACUUGGUGUCAUGGGAAAUCAGGACUGUUACUUUGAAAAAUUAGAGUGUUUAAAGCAGGCUCACGCUUGAAUACAUUAGCAUGGAAUAAUGAAAUAGGACGUUCGAUCCUAUUUUGUUGGUUUUUAGGAUCAACGUAAUGAUUAAUAGGGAUAGUUGGGGGCAUUAGUAUUCAAUUGUCAGAGGUGAAAUUCUUGGAUUUAUUGAAGACUAACUACUGCGAAAGCAUUUGCCAAGGAUGUUUUCAUUAAUCAAGAACGAAAGUUAGGGGAUCGAAGACGAUCAGAUACCGUCGUAGUCUUAACCAUAAACUAUGCCGACUAGGGAUCGGAUGAUGUUAAUUUUUUAAUGACUCAUUCGGCGCCUUAAC
rnacentral:misc_RNA from 1 species